ensembl:miRNA pma-mir-217a pma-mir-217a
UGUUGUGGAUACUGCAUCAGGAACUGAUUGGAUAGUGAUGGAUUGCCAUCAGUUCUUAAUGCAUUGUCU